AUUGAACGCUGGCGGCAUGCCUUACACAUGCAAGUCGAACGGCAGCACGGGUGCUUGCACCUGUUGGCGAGUGGCGAACGGGUGAGUAAUAUAUCGGAACGUACCUUAUUGUGGGGGAUAACGCAGCGAAAGCUGUGCGAAUACCGCAUAAGCCCUAAGGGGGAAAGCGGGGGACCGCAAGGCCUCGCGCAAUAAGAGCGGCCGAUACCUGAUUAGCUAGUUGGUGAGGUAAAGGCUCACAAAGGCAACGAUCAGUAGCUGGUCUGAGAGGACGAUCAGCCACACUGGGCCUAAGACACGGCCCAGACUCCUACGGGAGGCAGCAGUGGGGAAUUUUGGACAAUGGGGGCAACCCUGAUCCAGCAAUGCCGCGUGAGUGAAGAAGGCCUUCGGGUUGUAAAGCUCUUUUGUCAGGGAAGAAACACCGGCUCUAACACAGUCCGGGAAUGACGGUACCUGAAGAAUAAGCACCGGCUAACUACGUGCCAGCAGCCGCCGUAA
rnacentral:rRNA from 1 species